GACGAACGCUGGCGGCGUGCCUAAUACAUGCAAGUUGAGCGCUGAAGGUAGGUACUUGUUCCUCUUGGAUGAGCAGCGAACGGGUGAGUAACGCGUGGGGAAUCUGCCUUUGAGCGGGGGAUAACUUUUGGAAACGAAUGCUAAUACCGCAUAACAACUUUAAACACAUGUUUUAAGUUUGAAAGAUGCAAUUGCUUCACUCAAAGAUGAUCCCGCGUUGUAUUAGCUAGUUGGUGAGGUAAAGGCUCACCAAAGCGAUGAUACAUAGCCGACCUGAGAGGGUGAUCGGCCACAUUGGGACUGAGACACGGCCCAAACUCCUACGGGAGGCAGCAGUAGGGAAUCUUCGGCAAUGGGCGAAAGGCUGACCGAGCAACGCCGCGUGAGUGAAGAAGGUUUUCGGAUCGUAAAACUCUGUUGGUAGGGAAGAACGUUGGUGAGAGUGGAAAGCUCAUCAAGUGACGGUAACUACCCAGAAAGGGACGGCUAACUACGUG
rnacentral:rRNA from 1 species